GAUGAACGCUGGCGGCGUGCCUAAUACAUGCAAGUCGAGCGAACAGACGAGGAGCUUGCUCCUCUGACGUUAGCGGCGGACGGGUGAGUAACACGUGGAUAACCUACCUAUAAGACUGGGAUAACUUCGGGAAACCGGAGCUAAUACCGGAUAAUAUAUUGAACCGCAUGGUUCAAUAGUGAAAGACGGUUUUGCUGUCACUUAUAGAUGGAUCCGCGCCGCAUUAGCUAGUUGGUAAGGUAACGGCUUACCAAGGCAACGAUGCGUAGCCGACCUGAGAGGGUGAUCGGCCACACCGGAACUGAGACACGGUCCAGACUCCUACGGGAGGCAGCAGUAGGGAAUCUUCCGCAAUGGGCGAAAGCUUGACGGAGCAACGCCGCGUGAGUGAUGAAGGUCUUCGGAUCGUAAAACUCUGUUAUUAGGGAAGAACAAAUGUGUAAGUAACUAAGCACGUCUUGACGGUACCUAAUCAGAAAGCCACGGCUAACUACGUG
rnacentral:rRNA from 1 species